rnacentral:lncRNA from 1 species
UUAGCCGCCAUGAGGAUUUAAAGGGGAGCAUCGAACGCAUCAAUGCUCCAACAGUUGAUGGACCGACAACAUCCAACUGAUCAAUGCACCACCACCAUUGAUUCAAAAGAAUCUGCCAGCAGCACCAGCGGCACCAGCGAUCUCCCAGGAUCAAUAUAAUAGCUUCAUCCAGUAGGUACAGGUGCUUUCGACUGCGAUAAGAGGAAUACAACAGAAUAGCAAGCCUCAUCCUGUCCCAAAAAAUCCACAGCC